rnacentral:rRNA from 1 species
UACGAAGGGGGCUAGCGUUGCUCGGAAUUACUGGGCGUAAAGCGCACGUAGACGGCUUGUUAAGUCGGAGGUGAAAUCCUGGAGCUCAACUCCAGAACUGCCUUCGAUACUGGCGAGCUUGAGUUCGGGAGAGGUGAGUGGAACUGCGAGUGUAGAGGUGAAAUUCGUAGAUAUUCGCAAGAACACCAGUGGCGAAGGCGGCUCACUGGCCCGAUACUGACGCUGAGGUGCGAAAGCGUGGGGAGCAAACAGG